rnacentral:rRNA from 1 species
UACGAAGGGGGCUAGCGUUGCUCGGAAUCACUGGGCGUAAAGGGCGCGUAGGCGGCCAUUCAAGUCGGGGGUGAAAGCCUGUGGCUCAACCACAGAAUUGCCUUCGAUACUGUUUGGCUUGAGUAUGGCAGAGGUCAGUGGAACUGCGAGUGUAGAGGUGAAAUUCGUAGAUAUUCGCAAGAACACCAGUGGCGAAGGCGGCUGACUGGGCCAUUACUGACGCUGAGGCGCGAAAGCGUGGGGAG